rnacentral:sRNA from 1 species
GCAAGGCUGCUGCUAUGGGGCCGAGCGGCCGUGUGGCGCGGCUGCUCGCCCCACUAAUGUGGCGCAGGGCGGUUUCCUCGGUGGCGGGGUCCGCGGUUGGAGCCGAGCCCGGGCUUCGGCUGCUGGCCGUGCAGCGGCUUCCCGUGGGAGCAGCGUUCUGCCGGGCUUGCCAGACCCCAAACUUUGUCCGCGGCCUGCACAGCGAGCCUGGGCUGGAGGAGCGGGCGGAGGGGACGGUCAACGAGGGACGCCCAGAAUCGGACGCGGCAGAUCAUACUGGUCCCAAGUUUGACAUCGAUAUGAUGGUUUCACUUCUGAGGCAAGAAAAUGCAAGAGACAUUUGUGUGAUCCAGGUUCCUCCAGAAAUGAGAUAUACAGAUUACUUUGUGAUUGUUAGUGGAACUUCUACCCGACACUUACAUGCCAUGGCCUUCUACGUUGUGAAAAUGUACAAACACCUGAAAUGUAAACGUGACCCUCAUGUUAAGAUAGAAGGGAAGGACACUGAUGACUGGCUGUGCGUGGAUUUUGGUAAGUUAUUCUGGUGUACUUUACAGGUAACUGUUGGUACU